UUUUCCGGGUCUAUGCUUUUUCUGUCUUCUAUGUGUAGCUCUAACAGUAGGUCUCGACAGAUCACACAGAAAUCUCCCUCUCCACUUAGGAAAGCCAUCCUGAGCAUAGGGCUGGUUCUGAAAGGCAAUAGAUGACAAU